rnacentral:lncRNA from 12 species
CAUCUUAAAGAGCUUUUAGAAAGUAAUGAAUCAAAGAUUCAAGAAUCUCUUAAAGUUUAGCAUUCACUUCAAAUUCAACAUUUUCUUGCUUUUAUUUUUUUUCUUAUUAUCAAAUUCCUCAUUUUAGAGCAAGGUCACUCUUUUUUUUUUAUUCCUAUAUACUUGAUCUUCAGCCAUAACAAAUUCUCUCAAGAUUUUCGGAAGCCAAAAAAAAAAAAAAAAAAAAAAAAAGAUUUUCGGAAGCCUUUAAACACUUACCAGCCUACAAAGGUAGAUAUGAUUUCCAGCUGUUUUCUUCUUCUUUUUCAAAGAUUUAUUCAUUCAAGUCAAGGUGACAAUUUUACCAAAAGUGUUUUAGCCAUACAAAGCUAUACAAAGCUAAUAAAGACAUAUUUCAUAUAAAUUCAACAUUUUCUUUCAGCCAACUAUAUAAAGAACUACUUAGAGUCAUUCAAUAGUAUAUAGGAAAAAAGGUUUUUUUUUUUCCCAAAGGUUAUUUAUUUAUUUAUUAAUGAGAGAUGCACACAGAGAGAGAGAGAGAGAGAGAGGCACAGACAUAGGCAGAGGGAGAAGCAGGCUCCAUGCAGGGAGCCCGACGUGGGACUCGAUCCCGGGUCCCUGGGAUCACACCCUGGGCUGAAGGUGGCACCAAACCGCUGAGCCACCCAGGCUACCCAGGAAAAAAUGUUUUAAGAUCUUUGAAAAGUUCUCUUGAUCCAGUAAUUCCUUUUCCAGUAAACAACCUGGGGUCCAUUUGACUGGCAGACAACAGAACUUUCUGGAACAGUUUCUGAAACCCUUCAGACCACACAGUGCUCCAUGCCUCCUUCCCUGAGCUUGCAACCCAGGGAGGGUGAGGAACAGAUGGCUCUGGCCACCUCGAGGAACCGCCUGACGAUCAGUACGACCAACAGUCAGUGCCCACCGUCUCCACCGGUCACCAGGGUGGAGUGUCAGGGGCCACCGGGGGAAGCGAGACCUCCUGCUCUCCUGACUCGUCCAGCUCAUGCGCAGCUCCAGCAUCGUUACUGCCACUCCCCUGAGCCUGGCCUCUCACUCCUAGGCUUGGUGCCUGACCCCAGAGGAGCCCUUGAGAUUAGAUGGAAGGGGUCCCGGGCAAAUUUCUUGUUCUUCUCAGCAGAGUCUCGCAGGCUAGUGGCUUUAGGCACAUUCCAACUACCUGUCAUCGCAGCAUAG